GUCACGAUAGCUCAAGUGGUAGAGUACCGGCGUACAAAGCCGAAGGUCGUGGGUUCGAAUCCCGCUCGUGACA
rnacentral:tRNA from 1 species